UACGGAGGGUGCAAGCGUUAUCCGGAAUCACUGGGUUUAAAGGGUGCGUAGGCGGUCAGCUAAGUCAGUUGUGAAAUACCCCGGCUUAACCGGCGGAACUGCGAUUGAUACUGUUUGACUUGAAUCAGGUUGAGGUAGGCGGAAUGUGGCAUGUAGCGGUGAAAUGCUUAGAUAUGCCAUAGAACACCGAUUGCGAAGGCAGCUUGCUGGACCUGUAUUGACGCUGAGGCACGAAAGCGUGGGGAGCAAACAGG
rnacentral:rRNA from 1 species